rfam:Triticum aestivum genome assembly, contig: Triticum_aestivum_CS42_TGACv1_scaffold_063566_1DL
GUUGCUUCACAACUGGAAGGAUGGCCUGUUGAUAACAGUUUGGACAUCCCGUAGAGGGAAAGCAUAGAUGAAUGGAAACACCGGCCAGUAUUAAACAGCAUGACGCUCUGUCAAACCGCGUCAUGUUACCUGUCUUCUGGCACAUUU